GCGCCUGUAGCUCAGUGGAUAGAGCGACGGACUCCGGAUCCGUAGGUCGCAGGUUCGACUCCUGUCAGGCGCGCCA
rnacentral:tRNA from 1 species